rnacentral:rRNA from 1 species
AGUCGACGGAUCCUUCGGGAUUUAGUGGCGGACGGGUGAGUAACACGUAAGAACCUGCCUCUAGGACGGGGACAACAGUUGGAAACGACUGCUAAACCCGGAUGAGCCGAAAGGUAAAAGAUUUAUCGCCUAGAGAGGGGCUUGCGUCUGAUUAGCUAGUUGGUAAGGUAAAGGCUUACCAAGGCGACGAUCAGUAGCUGGUCUGAGAGGAUGAUCAGCCACACUGGGACUGAGACACGGCCCAGACUCCUACGGGAGGCAGCAGUGGGGAAUUUUCCGCAAUGGGCGAAAGCCUGACGGAGCAAGACCGCGUGGGGGAGGAAGGUUCUUGGAUUGUCAACCCCUUUUCUCAGGGAUGAACUCAAUGACGGUACCUGAGGAAAAAGCAUCGGCUAACUCCGUGCCAGCAGACGCGGUAAUACGGGGGAUGCAAGCGUUAUCCGGAAUGAUUGGGCGUAAAAGAGUCCGUAGGUAGCCAAUCAAGUCUGCUGUUAAAGAGCGAGGCUUAACUUCGUAAAGGCAGUGGAAACUGGAAGGCUAGAGUGUAGUAGGGGCAGAGGGAAUUCCUGGUGUAUCGGUGAAAUGCGUAAGAUCAGGAAGAAAACCGGUGGCGAAUGGCGCUCUGCUGGGCUAUAAUUGAUACUGAUGUAC